rnacentral:rRNA from 1 species
CCUACGGGUGGCAGCAGUGGGGGAUAUUGCACAAUGGGGGAAACCCUGAUGCAGCGACGCCGCGUGAGUGAAGAAGUUCUUCGGUAUGUACACCUCUAUCAGCAGGGAAGAAAAUGACAGUACCUGACCAGGAAGCCCCUGCUAACUACGUGCCAGCAGCCGCCGUCAUACGGAGGGUGCAAGCGUUCUCCGGAUUGACUGGGUGGAACGGGAGCGUAGACGGUUAGUCAAGUCUGGAGUGAAAGCCCGGGGCCCAACCCCGGGACUGCUUUGGAAACUGUGUAACUGGAGUACAGGAGGGGAAGGCGGAAUUCCUGGUGUAGCGGUGAAAUGCGUAGAUAUCAGGAGGAACACCAGCGGCGAAGGCGGCCAGCUG